UACGUAGGGUCCGAGCGUUGUCCGGAAUUACUGGGCGUAAAGAGCUCGUAGGUGGUUUGUCGCGUUGUUCGUGAAAACUCACAGCUCAACUGUGGGCGUGCGGGCGAUACGGGCAGACUAGAGUACUGCAGGGGAGACUGGAAUUCCUGGUGUAGCGGUGGAAUGCGCAGAUAUCAGGAGGAACACCGGUGGCGAAGGCGGGUCUCUGGGCCGGUACCGACGCUGAGGAGCGAAAGCGUGGGGAGCGAACAGG
rnacentral:rRNA from 1 species